UACAGAGGGGGCAAGCGUUGUUCGGAAUUACUGGGCGUAAAGGGCGCGUAGGCGGCCGCCUAAGUCAGACGUGAAAUCCCUCGGCUCAACCGGGGAACUGCGUCUGAUACUGGGUGGCUUGAAUCCGGGAGAGGGAUGCGGAAUUCCGAGGUGUAGCGGUGAAAUGCGUAGAUAUCUGGAGGAACACCGGUGGCGAAGGCGGCAUCCUGGACCGACGACUGACGCGUGAGGAGCGAAAGCCAGGGGAGCAAAGC
rnacentral:rRNA from 1 species